rnacentral:rRNA from 1 species
UACGGAGGGAGCUAGCGUUGUUCGGAAUUACUGGGCGUAAAGCGCACGUAGGCGGCUAUUCAAGUCAGAGGUGAAAGCCCGGGGCUCAACCCCGGAACUGCCUUUGAAACUAGAUAGCUAGAAUCUUGGGGAGGUCAGUGGAAUUCCGAGUGUAGAGGUGAAAUUCGUAGAUAUUCGGAAGAACACCAGUGGCGAAGGCGACUGACUGGACAAGUAUUGACGCUGAGGUGCGAAAGCGUGGGGAGCAAACAGG